UGGGGAAUAUUGCACAAUGGGCGCAAGCCUGAUGCAGCCAUGCCGCGUGUGUGAAGAAGGCCUUCGGGUUGUAAAGCACUUUUCAGCGAGGAGGAAGGUGGGUGAGCUUAAUACGCUCAUCAAUUGACGUUACUCGCAGAAGAAGCACCGGCUAACUCCGUGCCAGCAGCCGCGGUAAUACGGAGGGUGCAAGCGUUAAUCGGAAUUACGGGGCGUAAAGCGCACGCAGGCGGUUUGUUAAGUCAGAUGUGAAAUCCCCGGGCUCAACCUGGGAACUGCAUUUGAAACUGGCAAGCUAGAGUCUCGUAGAGGGGGGUAGAAUUCCAGGUGUAGCGGUGAAAUGCGUAGAGAUCUGGAGGAAUACCGGUGGCGAAGGCGGCCCCCUGGACGAAGACUGACGCUCAGGUGCGAAAAGCGUGGGGAGCAAAACAGGAUUAGAUACCCUGGUAGUCCACGCUGUAAAACGAUGUCGAUUUGGAGGUUGUGCCCUUGAGGCGUGGCUUCCGGAGCUAACGCGUUAAAUCGACCGCCUGGGGAGUACGGCCGCAAGGUUAAAAACUC
rnacentral:rRNA from 1 species